CUGGCCUUGACAUCCAGAGAACUUUCCAGAGAUGGAUUGGUGCCUUCGGGAACUCUGAGACAGGUGCUGCAUGGCCGUCGUCAGCUCGUGUCGUGAGAUGUUGGGUUAAGUCCCGUAAUGAGCGCAACCCCUAUCCCUGGUUGCUAGCAGGUAAUGCUGAGAACUCCAGGGAGACUGCCGGUGACAAACCGGAGGAAGGUGGGGAUGACGUCAGGUCAUCAUGGCCCUUACGGCCAGGGCUACACACGUGCUACAAUGGCGCGUACAGAGGGCUGCCAACUCGCGAGAGUGAGCCAAUCCCUUAAAACGCGUCGUAGUCCGGAUCGGAGUCUGCAGCUCGACUCCGUGAAGUCGGAAUCGCUAGUAAUCGCGAAUCAGAAUGUCGCGGUGAAUACGUUCCC
rnacentral:rRNA from 1 species